CCUACGGGCGGCAGCAGUGAGGAAUAUUGGUCAAUGGGCGCUAGCCUGAACCAGCCAAGUCGCGUGAAGGAUGACUGCCCUAUGGGUUGUAAACUUCUUUUAUAUGGGAAUAAAGUGCAGUAUGUAUACUGCUUUGCAUGUACCUUAUGAAUAAGGAUCGGCUAACUCCGUGCCAGCAGCCGCGGUAAUACGGAGGAUCCGAGCGUUAUCCGGAUUUAUUGGGUUUAAAGGGAGCGUAGGCGGGUUGUUAAGUUAGUUGUGAAAGUUUGCGGCUCAACCGUAAAAUUGCAGUUGAUACUGGCAGCCUUGAGUACAGGAGAGGUAGGCGGAAUGCGUGGUGUAGCGGUGAAAUGCUUAGAUAUCACGAAGAACUCCGAUUGCGAAGGCAGCCUGCUGGACUGUAACUGACGCUGAUGCUCGAAAGUGUGGGUAUCAAACAGGAUUAGAUACCCUAGUAGUC
rnacentral:rRNA from 1 species